CGGCAACAGCUCAAAUUUGAAAUCUGGCCCUUUCAGGGUCCGAGGUGUAAUUUGUAGAGGAUGCUUCGGCGUUGGGCCCGUGCUGAGUUCCUUGGAACAGGACGUCAUAGAGGGUGAGAACCCCGUCUUUGCUCGGGAUACCAUUGCCAUGUGAAGCUCCUUCGAC
rnacentral:rRNA from 1 species